rnacentral:rRNA from 1 species
CGUAGGUGGCAAGCGUUGUCCGGAGUUACUGGAUGUAAAGGGCGUGUAGGCGGGAAGAUAAGUCAGAUGUGAAAUUCCAUGGCUCAACUGUGGCGCUGCAUCUGAAACUAUUUUUCUUGAGUGAUGGAGAGGAAAGUGGAAUUCCUAGUGUAGCGGUGAAAUGCGUAGAUAUUAGGAGGAACACCAGUGGCGAAGGCGACUUUCUGGACAUUAACUGACGCUGAGGCGCGAAAGCGUGGGGAGCAAACAGGAUUAGAUACCCUGGUAGUCCACGCUGUAAACGAUGGAUACUAGGUGUAGGAGGUAUCGACCCCUUCUGUGCCGGAGUUAACACAAUAAGUAUCCCACCUGGGGAGUACGGCCGCAAGGUUG